ensembl:lncRNA
GUUGCUCAGCGCGAGAGGUUUAAACAAAAUUUAUACCCUUCUCCAUCUGGACUGUUCGUACAACCAUCUAAGCCAUGUUGAGCGUUUGGAGAAUUGUGCUCUGCUUUACACACUGUACCUCAGAGGAAACAGUCUGACUGAGGUUAAUCUUACACAACCAAAGAAACAAACAAGUUGAAAGAUGAGAUCAUGACUUAUCAUUUCUUCAGCAGUAAUCUCAAGGUCAUAUUGAAUAAUCACAAUUUUCCAUUAUUUUGAUGAUUUGUCAGUAUUCGAGAACUGUUUAUGUUCUUCUUCUAAUUAGCCGACUGAAAUCAUAGACUUUUCACCACUUUUUAUUUAUUUAUUUAGGAACAUCCCAUUUCUAUCCCAGUGUCCAGAAAAUGCGUAACUUGACAGUGCUCAUUACAUGAUACCAAAAAAAAAUGCUCAUCUGUUAGACUGCAAUCUUGGGCUGCUAUCAAUUUAAUUGAAUUAUCGCUAUCUGUUGUGCUUAAUGUUUGGAUAUUAGUCAUGUUCAUGAUGCGGCAUGAGUUUCCACCCAUUUCAGCUCAUGGGACAUUCAUGUUUGGAACAGAAAGAAUGACUUCCUGUGUGAUGACCUGGUCAAGAGGGAAUUGUUGUUGUUUUUAUUUCCGGGCCUGUGGCAUAGCUGCCUGUCCUGCAGAACCACGUUCUUCUGAGGGACUUGUACUUGGAUGACAAUCUUCUAUCUUCUGUUGAUGAUCUGGAAUCCUAUUGGCUGCCUUUGCUCCAUGUCCCAUAACAGAUUUGCAGAACGUGUGUCUGAAUCUUCAGGAAUGCACCAGUCUUCAAGAACUUAACCUGACUGGAAACCCACUACAGCAGGAAAGCAACUGGAGGUCCUUGCUUUUGGAGACAGUGCCUGGCUUGAUUAAGUUGAAUAAUGAGCAGACUGCUGCUGCUGCAGUGCCCCAUAAAUGUCCAGAACAGCAGUGGAGUUUCCAGGCCCUCUGUCAAGCACAGCAAGAGCGACGAGAUUCACUUCUCCAGCAGCAAAAAUUGGAGAACAGUUCUGCGCCCUCACAACAUGAUGCCCAGCUUCUUGCCAUUGGCCACCAACCAGACCUGCUCAGAUUUGCAGUGGAUCAGCGUUAUGCCCAUGAAUAUGGCGACAGCUGUGUCACAGAGGAUUCUACACUGGCGGCAGCUGCUAACAGUAGUUCAUGUAGAUAUUCUGAAGCAUCUUUAUCACAGGGACAAAGUCUAGAGAUGCGUGUCCGGGAUACAGCAGAUUGGCAGAAACACAAAAAGACUCAAUUUUCUCAAGCUGACCUUGAGCUACGAUCUGCUGACUGCAUGCAGACACAAAGUGAGAAGGAAACUGUUCAGGCACUGAACCUUAACAUAGCAGCAGCUGUGGCGAUCCAGCGAUGCUGGCGGAGGAGAUGCGUAUUGCAGAGACGUGAGGGCCUCCCAGACUUAAUUGAAAAAACUAACACAAAAUCACAUCUUCAUAAGGUGGAAGAUACCUGCAUUAGGGGGGCCGGAGAGAGAAUGUGCUGCUGUUGUAAUUCAGGUGAGACUCAUUUUUUAGCUCCUUUUACAAAAAAUUCCUCUGUUUACUUUGCUUUUGAUCAAGGAUUGUUUGAUAUAUCUCUAAAAAAAAGGUGA